UGUAAGCGUAUACCAAAGUUGUUGCAGUUAAAACGCUCGUAGUCGGAAUUUGGCAGUUCCGGAUGUGUGCACGUCGUGUGCGCACUUCGCGGGGAUUGCUUUUGUGGUCUUGCGUAGGAUGAGGCACUUUUCUUAGUGAACGUCCUCACGCAACCACUUUUUACUGUGAGAAAAUCAGAGUGCUCAAAGCAGGCAUUUGCCGUGAAUGUAUUAGCAUGGAAUAAUAGAAUAGGACUUGGUUCUAUUUUGUUGGUUUGUUGGGACUGAGUAAUGAUUAAGAGGGACAGUUGGGGGCAUUUGUAUUUCGGUGCUAGAGGUGAAAUUCUUAGAUUACCGAAAGACAAACUGCUGCGAAAGCGUCUGCCAAGGAUGUUUUCAUUGA
rnacentral:rRNA from 1 species